UAAAUAAUUAAGGAUUUAGGUUCAUGAUGAUUAAAAGGGAAAGAGGUGUAAGUCCUCUACAGCCCCCGCUACUGUAAGAAAAUACGAACCCCAGAUAGCCACUGAUAACUCGGGAAGGUUGGGAAGUAGGAUGAAGUUCGAGUCAGGAGACCUACCUAAGUCUAAGAGUAGUA
rnacentral:ncRNA from 2 species